rnacentral:rRNA from 1 species
AUUGAACGCUGGCGGCAGGCCUAACACAUGCAAGUCGAACGGUAACAGGAAACAGCUUGCUGUUUCGCUGACGAGUGGCGGACGGGUGAGUAAUGUCUGGGAAACUGCCUGAUGGAGGGGGAUAACUACUGGAAACGGUAGCUAAUACCGCAUAACGUCGCAAGACCAAAGAGGGGGACCUUCGGGCCUCUUGCCAUCGGAUGUGCCCAGAUGGGAUUAGCUAGUAGGUGGGGUAACGGCUCACCUAGGCGACGAUCCCUAGCUGGUCUGAGAGGAUGACCGCCAACACGGGACCAGAGACACGGUCCAGCCCCUGGCGGGGGGCAGCAGUGGGGAAUAUGGCAAAAGGGGGGAAGGCUUGAGGCAACCAGCCCGGGUGUAUGAAGAAGCCUUUGGGGUUGUAAAGUUCUUCCAGGGGGGAUGAAGGGAGAAAAUUUAAUACCUUUCCUCAUGGACUUAACCCGAAAAAAAAGCCCCGCCUACCCCCGUC